rnacentral:lncRNA from 1 species
CCCAAUUUAAAUCCUUCCCAUGUGGAGAAGACUGAUGGCUCCCCUGCAAGAUAGACUGGUAGAACCAGACUAGCAGCUUCCAUAAACAUCCAGUCACUUCUGUUUCAAUAAGCAGAGGACGGGUGUAUCCCAUCAACGUAUCAGCAGGGGAGCAGGUAGCAAGUUAUGAGUUUAACGUAUAGAAGGAGUCAUUGAAUGCAUGUUUAAUAAUCCUUAAAUUGGACAUGUGGUUUGUUCCCACUUCCCAGGCAGACCCCGCUGUGAGGCUGCGGGUGUGUCUGGAGACGCUGGGCGUGGAGGAAGAGACGCUGGAGGGAGUUCCGGCUCACCUGCGCCUCCCAGUGGCUGUGACCUGCUACUGGUGGAGGAGGGCCAGCCCUGAACUGACGCUCCUCAAAGCUCUGCUGAUGGUCAUGGUCCAAGGAGAACUGAACCGACAGACAGCAGGGACAACAGGUAGGCUGGCAGGGGGAUACCAACCACCACUCUCAGCCUCUGGACGGUGUCAUGACUCACAGCCUCAACCAAUGGCAGGCCUGCCUGAAGGACGCCUCCCAGCUCAACCUGGUGCUCUGCAUGCCUCUCCCUGAACCCCACUACGCCUGGUGAGACCCUCAGACAGUACUGUUUCCAUAGUAACACCAUAUCCAAGAAGUACUGUUUCUAUAGUUACACCAUCAUCUAGCCAGUACUUUUUCAUAGAAAGCCAAUCACCUGGCGGGCACUUUUUGCAUAUUAAAACCGUAACUAGCCCUCAAUGUUUCCAUAGUUACAGCAUCAUUUGAAGCUUAAGUCAUGAAUAACAUUAGAUAACAGAAUAACAUCACAAGAUUGUUAUCUUUUGAUAUACUGAGACAUUUUAACAUAUAGACAUUUGUGACAGGGAAAGUUGACCAAAUGUAGUUGCGACUACAUUUGGUCAACCAAAUGUAGUCGCAAGAUAAGACAAGUGCUUCACUAAUCCCAGGCGGGUUGGUCCAGGUUGUACCAGGGCAGGCUGGUGCACCGGCGGCAGAAGCAGCUCCAGGAGAGGGAGCCAGAGGUGGAAAAUGCCAACUUCGUCAGUCUGUACAGGAGGCUCCUGGGAGCAGUGCUCCGGCCAGACCCAGGGGCCAACAGGAUGGCUGGGGGGCCUGAGGCCCAGCUGAGGGCCAGCAUGGAGCACCUACACCUCAAGAACCAGGAUGAGGAGGAGGAGGAGGAGGAGGAGGAGGAGGAGGAGGAGGAGGAGGAGGAGGAGGAGGAGGGGGGAGAGGAGGAGGAGGAGGAGGAGCUGGGAGGGGCUGAAGGCCGCGAUCAGGGCUUGGAAAGGCCUCUGGUGUCGGUGUCCGACGGGUCCAGGAACCCAGAACUGGGCAGGACGCAGGAGAAGGAGAAGCAGGAGCAGUGCCGUUUUUGGCCAUCCUGGCACCCGAGGUGAGAUCUACACACAUCAAAUGAUUUAUGCACUCAAUAUUUAAAAGUUACCUCACUAGCUAAACACGUGACAACUCUUUCAAUGUUCACUAUGUGAUCUGAUGGCCUUUGUAGGCCGAAACGUUCUCACCAAUUAAAACAUUCUUACUGUACGUCCACACCAGGAGCGACCAAAGCCGCUCACAAAGUUUCGCUGCGAAUUUUUCUGUUCGCUUUGGUCGCUCAAGUCGCUCAUGACGUACAAUUCAAUUAUGCAGACGCAUUUAAAGGAGCCGUAUGCGUUUAGUAGGCCCUACAGACCGCCAUAUCAAAUAGUGAACCCUCCCAUACACCUUGGCCAUAUUGCCGAGACGGUUUUGCUUGUUCGAUAAAGUGCUUCGACAACAAGUAGGACAGUGAUUCCCCCCAAUACAAAAAAAAUCCUAAAAUGUAGGCUAAUUACAACCGAGAACAAAAAACCCUGCGUGCUGUAGUACUUAAAAUAUGUUUCACUGAUCUGGAUCUGCAAAUCAUGAUCUGCACUCAUUCGUCGCAUUCAAAACAAAUAGACAUUCGCGCACAUGGCUAAUUUGCAUACGCGCACAGGACUGGUUGGCUCCGCAAGGCAAAUAAUGGAACAUAUCGAUCUAUCUAGGCUUUUCUGUCUAUCUAUCUAUCUACGCGUGUCUAGUUUUAAUGUGAUGUAUUGUGUGUAUGUCCAGUCAGACUUGUUCUGUGUGGUCUUGUAGGCUACUGUCCUGUGUGGGCCGAACCACCUAAAUGGAUUCCCGACGAUUUGUGUCGUUUGGUAUUAAUAAAGACUUGACUAGGCUUUCUAUCUAUCUAGACUAGAUAUAUCCCUUGUCAUUUAUCCCUCGUCUUGUCGAUUAGUUUGUUUAUGUGACGAUUUCAAAAACUUUUUUGGUUUUGUUUAAAGCAUGCUACACGCGAUUGGUUGGUUAGAUUGGUGGCAUGGAGAGCAAAUUAAAAUGAUUCCCGCGUAAAUACGAACGUUCUAGAUGUAGCCUAUAAAUACUCCCGCUUAUCAUCACUUGAUAUCCAAACCACUACGGCGUUUCGAUCUCUGAACUGAAAAGGGGUGGGUUCGUACAACACCGGGUGCCCAGUUACAGCCGCGAUUAAUACUUCAGCCGACAUUUUUUUCAGUGAGUGAAUAAAGGUAGGUAGGAACCAAAGUGUCUGCCGAUGUUCCCUGGGAUCCACGCAAGCGAAGAGCGUCUACAUUCCGAUUGGCUGUCAGUGUUUGGCCGCUGAAGCGAAUAAUAGUCAUUUGCAUAAAGUUAAAAAGUUUUCAACUUCUUUUUGACGCUCUGGUCGCUCAACUUUGGCCGCUGGUAGCGUUGGUCGCUUUGGUCGCUUUGGUCGCUUUGGUCGCUCUUGCCCAUAGAAAGUGAAUGACUUCCGGCGAUUUGGUCGCUCAAUUCGCUUCUGGUGUGGACGGACAGUUACUAUUGGAACUCAGAUCGUGCGGCACCUUCUUUUUUUUCUUCCUUUGAACUCUUUCAACGUAGACUCAUAAAUAAUGUCAGCCGAUCAUGUCCUCUCUUUAAAGAUAAGUUAGUGCAUCUGUUGACAUGUGAACACUGUAUGUUGCAGGAAGAGCGAUCGCUCCUCAUUGGAUGUACCGACGUCCACUGUUGAUGACCCCGAAUCCCCCCUAUAGCCGGGGGUCCGACCAAUCACAGGGAAGCACAAGAGGGACGGCCGCAGGAAAAAGGACAGGAAGAGCAAGCGCUGCCGCCAGAGGAAGACCGGUGGGUAGAGGAAGAGGGACGGGCUAGGCAGGCCGCACGGCGCGAGUGAGCAGGGUAGUGAGCAGGAUGGUGAGCAGGAAGUGUUAUAGCCCCCAAUGGGCAGUUACUAGUAAUUACUGUUAGCAACAUCCUUUCCAUUCACAUUCAGGGAGUUUUGAAUUGAAUUGAAUAAAGUUUUUAUUUCGAACAAGUAAAUAAUAAUAAAAAUAGCAAUAAUAAACAAUAAAAUAAAUGAAACAAGUGGACGGUUACAAUAAAGUAAUAUUUACACACAAUGAAAACCACAAAAUAAAAUAAACUGUCUUACACUUGCUUUACCUGUUCGAAAAGGGGUGAGAAGAAGAAAACGUAUUUAAUCUCACCCCUUCUCCCUAAUUUAGUUACCUAUAAUGAGUAUUAGCUUCCUUAUUAAUGAUUUAAUAAUCAUCAAAAAAUAAUUAUGUAUUAAUAUAUAUUAGUUUACAAUAUGAUACAAUUCAUUACCACUUGUGUAUUUAUCUAAUAAUAUUGUCAAGUUAUCUUUUAAUAAUAUCUGAUUAAACAUUCAAUAUUAUAUAAAUACUGUCAAAUAUAUACCAUUAUAUACAUACAUGAAAACAUAUACACUAUGUUAAAGACCUUUUUCAUCCCUGUACCUCGUAAAAAUCAAUUCUUUGUAUUUUAAUUUAAACGGGUUAAUGUUUGGACAUUCCUUGAUCUCCCCACUCAAACUGUUCCAUAGUCUUACACCACAUAUUGAAAUACAAAACAUUUUCCUGGUCGUACGGACGCUGUUCACUUUUAAAUUUAAUUUUCCCCUUGAAUUAUAACCCCCCUCAUGAUCACUGAAUAAUAUUUGUAUGUUUAAGGGUAAUAUGUUGAUUUUAGCCUUAAACAUUAUCUGUGUGGUUUAGCAGACGCUUUGAUCCAAAGCGACUUACAAAGUAUUUUUGUCAGAAGAAGCAGACAUAGGUUGUUUCUUCAUCAUUCCUGUAAUCUUCUUACGUAAUAUCUUCAGUUUAUCUAACUGAAUGGCUAGUAACGUUUUCGCACCUUUCAUAAUUAUAGUUGUUAUAAUAUAUAUCAUAUGGUUCCAUACUGCCUUCUUUAAAGGGCAUUACUCACUCAAAUAAUAGUGAGAGUGAUACCAAUACAGAAGCAACCAUUUUUAACAUUUAUUUAUACAGUAAUUAUAUUGUUUUCAAAUAAAG